CAUGAGUAGCGAUAAUUAAUGUGAGAAUCAUUAACGCCGUAAACCCAAGGUUUCCUACGCGAUGCUCGUCAUCGUAGGGUUAGUCGGGUCCUAAGUCGAGUCCGAAAGGGGUAGACGAUGGCAAAUUGGUUAAUAUUCCAAUACCAACAUUAGUGUGCGAUGGAAGGACGCUUAGGGCUAAGGGGGCUAGCGGAUGGAAGUGCUAGUCUAAGGUCGUAGGAGGUUAUACAGGCAAAUCCGUAUAACAAUACUCCGAGAACUGAAAGGCUUUUUGAAGUCUUCGGAUGGAUAGAAGAACCCCUGAUGCCGUCGAGCCAAGAAAAGUUUCUAAGUUUAGCUAAUGUUGCCCGUACCGUAAACCGACACAGGUGGGUGGGAUGAGUAUUCUAAGGCGCGUGGAAGAACUCUCUUUAAGGAACUCUGCAAAAUAGCACCGUAUCUUCGGUAUAAGGUGUGGUUAGCUUCGUACUAGGAUUUACUCCGAAAGCGAAGAAACUUACAACAAAGAGUCCCUCCCGACUGUUUACCAAAAACACAGCACUCUGCUAACUCGUAAGAGGAUGUAUAGGGUGUGACGCCUGCCCGGUGCUCGAAGGUUAAUUGAUGGGGUUAGCAUUAGCGAAGCUCUUGAUCGAAGCCCGAGUAAACGGCGGCCGUAACUAUAACGGUCCUAAGGUAGCGAAAUUCCUUGUCGGUUAAAUACCGACCUGCAUGAAUGGCGUAACGAGAUGGGAGCUGUCUCAAAGAGGGAUCCAGUGAAAUUGUAGUGGAGGUGAAAAUUCCUCCUACCCGCGGCAAGACGGAAAGACCCCGUGGACCUUUACUACAGCUUGACACUGCUACUUGGAUAAGAAUGUGCAGGAUAGGUGGGAGGCUUUGAGUAUAUGACGCCAGUUGUAUAUGAGCCAUUGUUGAGAUACCACUCUUUCUUAUUUGGGUAGCUAACCAGCUUGAGUUAUCCUCAAGUGGGACAAUGUCUGGUGGGUAGUUUGACUGGGGCGGUCGCCUCCCAAAUAAUAACGGAGGCUUACAAAGGUUGGCUCAGAACGGUUGGAAAUCGUUCGUAGAGUAUAAAGGUAUAAGCCAGCUUAACUGCAAGACAUACAAGUCAAGCAGAGACGAAAGUCGGUCUUAGUGAUCCGGUGGUUCUGUGUGGAAGGGCCAUCGCUCAAAGGAUAAAAGGUACCCCGGGGAUAACAGGCUGAUCUCCCCCAAGAGCUCACAUCGACGGGGAGGUUUGGCACCUCGAUGUCGGCUCAUCGCAUCCUGGGGCUGGAGCAGGUCCCAAGGGUAUGGCUGUUCGCCAUUUAAAGCGGUACGCGAGCUGGGUUCAGAACGUCGUGAGACAGUUCGGUCCCUAUCUGCCGUGGGCGUAAGAAGAUUGAAGAGAUUUGACCCUAGUACGAGAGGACCGGGUUGAACAAACCACUGGUGUAGCUGUUGUUCUGCCAAGAGCAUCGCAGCGUAGCUAAGUUUGGAAAGGAUAAACGCUGAAAGCAUCUAAGCGUGAAGCCAACUCUAAGAUGAAUCUUCUCUAAGCUCUCUAGAAGACUACUAGUUUGAUAGGCUGGGUGUGUAAUGGAUGAAAGUCCUUUAGCUGACCAGUACUAAUAGAGCGUUUGGCUUAUCUUU
rnacentral:rRNA from 1 species